rnacentral:rRNA from 1 species
CAGUCGCCGCGGGAAUACGGAGGGCGCGAGCGUUACCCGGAUUUACUGGGCGUAAAGGGCGUGUAGGCGGCCUGGGGCGUCCCAUGUGAAAGGCCACGGCUCAACCGUGGAGGAGCGUGGGAUACGCUCAGGCUAGAGGGUGGGAGAGGGUGGUGGAAUUCCCGGAGUAGCGGUGAAAUGCGCAGAUACCGGGAGGAACGCCGAUGGCGAGGGCAGCCACCUGGUCCACUUCUGACGCUGAGGCGCGAAAGCGUGGGGAGCAAACCGGAUUAGAUACCCCGGUAGUCCCUGUCUCUUAUAA